UAGUGGCGAACGGGUGAGUAACACGUGAGUAACCUGCCCUUGACUCUGGGAUAAGCCUGGGAAACUGGGUCUAAUACCGGAUAUGACCUUCCAUCGCAUGGUGGUUGGUGGAAAGCUUUUGUGGUUUUGGAUGGACUCUGCGGCCUAUCAGCUUGUUGGUGGGGUAAUGGCCUACCAAGGCCGACGACGGGUAUCCGGCCUGAGAGGGUGACCGGCCACACUGGGACUGAGACACGGCCCAGACUCCUACGGGAGGCANCANUGGGGAAUAUUGCACAAUGGGCGCAAGCCUGAUGCAGCGACGCCGCGUGAGGGAUGACGGCCUUCGGGUUGUAAACCUCUUUCAGCAGGGAAGAAGCGAGAGUGACGGUACCUGCAGAAGAAGCGCCGGUUAACUACGUGCCAGCAGUCGCGGUAAUACGUAGGGCGCAAGCGUUAUUCCGGAAUUAUUGGGCGUAAAGAGCUCGUACGCGGUUUGUCCCUGUCUGCCGUGAAAGUCCGGGGCCUCAACUCCGGAUCUGCGGUGGGUACGGCCAGACUACA
rnacentral:rRNA from 1 species